ACUCGACAAAGAGUUCGCCGUGCAACCU
rnacentral:sRNA from 1 species